ACUGAGGGUGCAAGCGUUAAUCGGAAUUACUGGGCGUAAAGCGAGUGUAGGCGGCUACUUAAGUCGGAUGUGAAAGCCCUGGGCUCAACCUGGGAAUUGCAUUCGAAACUGGGUAGCUAGAGUUUGGUAGAGGUAAGUGGAAUUUCGGGUGUAGCGGUGAAAUGCGUAGAUAUCCGAAGGAACAUCAGUGGCGAAGGCGGCUUACUGGACCAAAACUGACGCUGAGGCUCGAAAGCGUGGGGAGCAAACAGG
rnacentral:rRNA from 1 species